UGCUGAAAACACUUUAAGUGUCAUGUGUCGCAACAUUCCAGACGGUUGUGUCAAGACGUCGAAUUUUGUCAGUUCUAUUUCAAAAAUGCAUCUUCCUUUGUUAUUAGCGAUCUUCAACAUUAUUUAUCCAGCCGUUACAGAAGUACCGAGCAACGUUUUUCAACUCCCUGUCAGCAUCAAUGUGAUCACUGGUGGAAGCGUCACUUUCUAUUGUGCUUUCCCACUCCUCCAAGACAACUCAGAUCUAAAUAUUUUCUGGUGGAAACUAGGGGAAAACAAUUUUCUGCAGACUCGGUUGGACAGCGGGAGAUAUGUUUCUACUUUGAGUAAAGGGGAGGCUACCUUUCAGCUCAUGAACGUCAAUGCCACGGACACUGGAGUAUAUUAUUGUGGGGUGAAGCGUCGAGAUAAUCCACUAGUAAAUGGAACUGGGUCAAAGCUCAUGGUCCAUGUUCCACCGACCCCAUUACGAAUUACUUACAAUGAAGUCAAACAAAAUGGAUCUGUCUUUCCCACAAUUAUAUGCAAAACUCCUGAAUUCUACCCUGAUGAGAUAAAUAUUACUUGGUACAAGGAUGGUCUGACCAUCGAGACUGGUAUAACUACGAGAAAAGUGGUAAACAUAAAUGGCCGCUAUGAAGUUACCAGCAUUCUGGUAGAGGAGGAAUCUGUCAAGAGCGGGACUAUUUACACUUGUCAGGCAAGUCAUUCUACAAUCAAAACGGCGACGGACUUCCAAUUUAUGUCAACGACCACAGAAGCGCGAUCAUCUCAAGUCAGUAAUCUGAUUCGAUUUCUGCUGGGGCUGUUCCUAAUAAUAGUGGGGAUCGUGCUCAUCGUCAAUUAUUUGCAAUCAUCCUAAAUCAAAAGGUUCUUUUGAAGACCCUGAUCUGGAGUUACACGCAGACGUCGGAUCCCGGGACCCGUUCUCGGGGUUUCUGGACUGGCCAUUGCUCGGCACAGAGUUCGAGAAAAGCGACGUAACGGACUUUUAACAUCCUAAGCCAGCGGGUUGUUUGUUGUGUCUCCCCGCUCACAGGGAAAAUGGAGAUACCUCCUUCCCCAUUAUUAGGGAGAGACAGAACCUGUGGGAUGUCGAAUGCCGGGUGAAACGCGAAGUCUUUGGGGUAACCGCAAGUCUGUGUCUUCGCUAUUGCUUUGUUCACACUUGAGUGCUCGGUGAAGGUAUUGAUGCUCGUGUUUUUGCCGGUGGGGGGAAUUGCUGCUGUACGGGGAUUGUUGUACGAUGCUGCUUACAUGCGGGA